AGUGUAAACACAUAGAUUUCACUCCCCACGAGCGGUCCGUAGUUUGGGGUAGAAAAGAUCUUUUUCUUUCGAUAAGAGCGCAUUUCUAGCGUAGGUUGGGAACCCGACACUCCCCGGUAACUGGCAGGGGGAGGCGGUUUGCGGGACGCUGCCGGGGGGGCGCUGAGCUUUGUGCCAACCUCUCCCAGCGUCCGGCCAGCCAGGAGAAAGCUGCGAAUGCAGGAGGGGAUGAAGGCGGAGAAUGGGUGAGGAAGGAAGGGGCUGGGAAAUGGGAAGAGGUCGUUCUGCCCCCGAAACUACAUAAUGGCUGGGAAGGACCGCCAAACAAGACUGGAACCAGUAGGAAGUUGUACGGUAUGAAGAAACAGGCCCAUGGAAGCUUCCAGAUUUUGUCAGAUGGUAGAUUCCAAGUCUCCAACUUCUACUGCUGCUUGGUGCUGUCUAACCGUCCCUUAAUGGCACAGAUUCACUGGACAGAGGAAGAAGAAGAUGGCCAAGAUUUACUGGUUGGAAGACGAGACAGCUCCCUUCUGAUGCUUUCAAUCUGCCUUUGAAAUUCAUCAGCUAAGGGUGAGGAAGAGAUGGGAGAAUUGGAGUUUGAUUAUGUCAUAGAAGUUGAGAAGAUGGAUCAUAUGCCUAUCUGCUUCCAGUGUCGUCUUCCUUCCAGGCUGAAGGAGCUGUGUUCUCCAGGACAUAUGAGGAAACUGAAGCUAAGACAGUGUGGUUGGAGGAAUGAAUUGCCCCCAAAGAAGUUUACAGUCUCAUCUCCAGAACUGUGAUUAUGGUCCCUAACAUGGGAAUUAUUGACAUCAUCUACAAGGCAUAUUAACCAUGAAGAAAGACAGAUUUCAACUGUACGUCCUCUUUCUGCAGAGACUGAAGAAGAGGUAGGUGUGGCCAUGAAAGACCAGCUUAAUACCACUUGUGACCUUUGCUUUAUACAGGUGACCUGUGGUUGACUUAUGAAUAACAGGAACAUAACCAGAUUUCCUUAUGACAUUCUCACUAUUGCUCUUAAUUCAACAUAUAUUUGUGACAUUGACGUGGUUGUUCACUUGAGCCUGCUCUAGAUAUUUAAUUGAUAUAGCCAGCUAGCUAAGCAGCAAUAACUUGUAUCUUUCUAGGUUAUAGAACUAUGUUUGCGGAAAGAAAACAUGUCUCUCCCGAUUUCAUCAGCAUGAUCAAACAUUAAUGAUGUGUAUCUGCAAAAAAUUGUGAGAGAAUUGAGUAUAUCAUCUUAUCAACACUAUCAUUAAAAACAAUGAGAGGAAGAAACAGAAAAAUCUUUCCUGGAUUUUUUUUCUUGAUCUUCUUUAAAAAGAAAACCAGAGAUUUAAACCUCCCCACAGGGGAUCAUUUUAGCUACACUUAUGACUUAGGAAGGUUACAUGAGGAAGAACAGUUUCUGUCCCUGAGAUGGUUGAAAAGAGAAGAUGAAGUGGGUGAGAGAAGGUUGAAGUA